GGGUUGUGGCUCAGCGGUAGAGCGCUUGCCUACCUCGUGUGGGGCCCUGGGUUCAAUCCCCAGGACCCA
rnacentral:tRNA from 1 species